GUAAGUGUAUUUUAUUAUUUAAGUUGGUGCGUUUAACAGAUUCUGUAACUUAUUACACAAAGGGCAACGCUGUUUAGCUUUGUUAACUAGAUGGUAAUUGAAACUAAUCUGACAAAAAAUUUUAAAAAGUGUAGUAAUUCAACCGGACACCAUUGAUUGUUGGUGUUUGUAAUGAUCAGUUUAAAUUAUUUGUUGAUUAUAUCUAUUGUUUACUGUUUAACCACAUGCUGGUUUAGCUGCAGCCAUGCGAAUCAUUGUUCUAUGUUUAGGCCUAUGUAACGUUACCUACUGUAGGAAAGCCAUGUUUGUUUCCUAUUUAUUGCGAAGCUAUUAUGCUACAGUAGUCAUAUAUACGAAAAUGUAACUGUGCUAAACAGUAACAAACAAUAAAUAUCCACAGUUUUUUAUGUAAUAAUCUAUUGAAGAACCAUGUUAGUAAAUUUAUUAUAGAGAAUGCAUGCCUGUUUUUGUAUUUUUUGCUUUGUUUCUGUUGUAUUCUGAUAAAUGUCAAUUAAAUAUGUCAUUUCUGUUGAACAUGGAAAAUGUGUACAUUGGUAUUACUUCAUAAUUAAAUACACAUUUGAAAUAUUUGUUACAGAGUUCAUCUCAGCAGGGACCACGUUCCCAAGAGCUCCCUGCAACAUCUUCUGUACAUGAAGCUGGAUGUCAGACAGACUCUGCAAACACCGAAACAUUGGCCAUACAGAUAUCAGCAAAGAUGCGAUCAGUGGGCACACAACUUUCUGUUGGUACACUGAGGGAUGUCCACAUAAGAAGCAAAGGUUGUAUCUCGCAGCCAUGUACUACAAUGAGAAUGCCCAGCGUCCACAGGCAACAACAACACAAGGAGAGGCUGUUUUCAAAAUCACUUUUCCGAAGUCAAAACAAGGGGAAUGCACAGCCAAGACCCAACAUUUAG
ensembl:lncRNA